UACGUAGGGUGCGAGCGUUGUCCGGAAUUAUUGGGCGUAAAGAGCUCGUAGGCGGUGUGUCGCGUCGGCCGUGAAAACCUGCAGCUUAACUGUGGGCGUGCGGUCGAUACGGGCAUCACUGGAGUUCGGCAGGGGAGACUGGAAUUCCUGGUGUAGCGGUGAAAUGCGCAGAUAUCAGGAGGAACACCGGUGGCGAAGGCGGUGCUCUGGGCCGGAACUGACGCUGAGGAGCGAAAGCGUGGGUAGCAAACAGG
rnacentral:rRNA from 1 species